rnacentral:rRNA from 1 species
GUCCACGCCGUAAACGAUGUCAACUAGCCGUUGGAAGCCUUGAGCUUUUAGUGGCGCAGCUAACGCAUUAAGUUGACCGCCUGGGGAGUACGGCCGCAAGGUUAAAACUCAAAUGAAUUGACGGGGGCCCGCACAAGCGGUGGAGCAUGUGGUUUAAUUCGAAGCAACGCGAAGAACCUUACAAGGCCUUGACAUCCAAUGAACUUUCCAGAGAUGGAUUGGUGCCUUCGGGAACAUUGAGACAGGUGCUGCAUGGCUGUCGU